GGAAAGUCACAUUAAUUUGGUGCGCCUAGUGGCUGCAAGAGUUUGUAUGAUCCGCAUUGAGUUGAGAUUGAAAGUACGAUGUGCCGCUGACAUAGACAUCCAAUGAUCGAGGGACGAAAUACCAGUGCCUUGAGCAUGUACUAUUAUUAUAGUAUAUUUAUAU